CGGAGGGGUUAGCGUUGUUCGGAAUGACUGGGCGUAAAGCGCGCGUAGGCGGAUCGCAAAGUUGGGGUGAAAGCCCAGGGCUCAACCCUGGAAUUGCCUUCAAGACUCGCGGUCUGGAGUUCGAGAGAGGUGGGUGGAAUUCCGAGUGUAGAGGUGAAAUUCGUAGAUAUUCGGAGGAACACCAGUGGCGAAGGCGGCCCACUGGCUCGACACUGACGCUGAGGCGCGAAAGCGCGGGGAGCAAACAGGAUU
rnacentral:rRNA from 1 species